AUAAAGCGGGUGAAAAGCCCGCUCGCCGGAAGACCAAGGGUUCCUGUCCAACGUUAAUCGGGGCAGGGUGAGUCGACCCCUAAGGCGAGGCCGAAAGGCGUAGUCGAUGGGAAACAGGUUAAUAUUCCUGUACUUGGUGUUACUGCGAAGGGGGGACGGAGAAGGCUAUGUUGGCCGGGCGACGGUUGUCCCGGUUUAAGCGUGUAGGCUGGUUUUCCAGGCAAAUCCGGAAAAUCAAGGCUGAGGCGUGAUGACGAGGCACUACGGUGCUGAAGCAACAAAUGCCCUGCUUCCAGGAAAAGCCUCUAAGCAUCAGGUAACAUCAAAUCGUACCCCAAACCGACACAGGUGGUCAGGUAGAGAAUACCAAGGCGCUUGAGAGAACUCGGGUGAAGGAACUAGGCAAAAUGGUGCCGUAACUUCGGGAGAAGGCACGCUGAUAUGUAGGUGAAGUCCCUCGCGGAUGGAGCUGAAAUCAGUCGAAGAUACCAGCUGGCUGCAACUGUUUAUUAAAAACACAGCACUGUGCAAACACGAAAGUGGACGUAUACGGUGUGACGCCUGCCCGGUGCCGGAAGGUUAAUUGAUGGGGUUAGCCGCAAGGCGAAGCUCUUGAUCGAAGCCCCGGUAAACGGCGGCCGUAACUAUAACGGUCCUAAGGUAGCGAAAUUCCUUGUCGGGUAAGUUCCGACCUGCACGAAUGGCGUAAUGAUGGCCAGGCUGUCUCCACCCGAGACUCAGUGAAAUUGAACUCGCUGUGAAGAUGCAGUGUACCCGCGGCAAGACGGAAAGACCCCGUGAACCUUUACUAUAGCUUGACACUGAACAUUGAGCCUUGAUGUGUAGGAUAGGUGGGAGGCUUAGAAGUGUGGACGCCAGUCUGCAUGGAGCCGACCUUGAAAUACCACCCUUUAAUGUUUGAUGUUCUAACGUUGACCCGUAAUCCGGGUUGCGGACAGUGUCUGGUGGGUAGUUUGACUGGGGCGGUCUCCUCCUAAAGAGUAACGGAGGAGCACGAAGGUUGGCUAAUCCUGGUCGGACAUCAGGAGGUUAGUGCAAUGGCAUAAGCCAGCUUGACUGCGAGCGUGACGGCGCGAGCAGGUGCGAAAGCAGGUCAUAGUGAUCCGGUGGUUCUGAAUGGAAGGGCCAUCGCUCAACGGAUAAAAGGUACUCCGGGGAUAACAGGCUGAUACCGCCCAAGAGUUCAUAUCGACGGCGGUGUUUGGCACCUCGAUGUCGGCUCAUCACAUCCUGGGGCUGAAGUAGGUCCCAAGGGUAUGGCUGUUCGCCAUUUAAAGUGGUACGCGAGCUGGGUUUAGAACGUCGUGAGACAGUUCGGUCCCUAUCUGCCGUGGGCGCUGGAGAACUGAGGGGGGCUGCUCCUAGUACGAGAGGACCGGAGUGGACGCAUCACUGGUGUUCGGGUUGUCAUGCCAAUGGCACUGCCCGGUAGCUAAAUGCGGAAGAGAUAAGUGCUGAAAGCAUCUAAGCACGAAACUUGCC
rnacentral:rRNA from 1 species